rnacentral:lncRNA from 1 species
CACGCAGUGUAAACAAGGCGUUGAUUGGCCGGAGCCGCGGGCGGUUUCAAGGCGCCCCCUCUGAGGGGGGUGAGGGGGGGACACGCGCGGCGGGGGCGGUUUCCAGGCCCCCCCGCGCACACCCCGGUGCGGCCCGGGCCGAGCGAGCGGGAUCAAAGAGCGGCGGGCGGGCACGGGCAGCGGUUCGUACCGUACCGUACCGUACCGUACCGCCGGGGCACACCGGGCAGCGCCUCCGUACCGCUCCGUACCGUACCGUACCGUACCGCCGGGGCACACCGGGCAGCGCCUCCGUACCGUACCGUACCGCCGGGGCACGGGCAGCGCCGCCGCUCCGCCGGGGUACACCGAGCACGGGCCGCGGGCAGCGCCUCCGCACCGCUCCGUACCGCACCGCCGGGGCACACCGGGCACGGAGAGAAGUGCUGGAGGCCGUGCGGCGGAAGGGAGUGGGCAACAAGGGGGUAACUGCGGGCUGCGGAGUAUUACGGCGGGCGAUUCAUUACGUGGGACGACAAUUGAGUUAGUGGGGAGCGGCCGGGGGCCGCAGGGACCCUCCAGCACCGCGUGGACACAGCUGCACACGCCAGGACACACGGACACGGCACGGGGACAGACGGACAAGGACAGCCGGGAACAGGCGGCCGCACCGCGGGGCACAGCCCGGCACAGGCGCUGCUGCGGCUGCGGCACGGAGCUGUGCCUGGGGACACGCCAAGGGACACGGAAGGACACGGGAUGGCACCGCACACCCAACCUCCACAUCCUCCUCCGCGGCUGCCCUUGGGUCCCUGCCCACGUGGGGAAGGCCGGGAAAGGGCCCUUAGUUAUGGAUUAUCCCAGCGUGGGGAAUUGGUGCCAAACGGGAGCGUGGUGUGGACACCGGUGUGCGGGUACACGGUGUGCAGACCCCGGUGUGUGCAGACCCCGGUGUGUGCAGACCCCGGUGUGCGGGUACACGGUGUGCAGACCCCGGUGGUCUAGGAGAGCUGGGCAAGAGCUUCCUGACUGAAAAGGAAAACCAAAAAACACCUCACAAAAAGCUGCUCUCAGGCUCUUCCUUCCCGCAGUGACGCUGGCGGGAGUGGGAAGGGGCCAGGGGAAGCCCUGGUGCCACGUGGGAAGGGGUUGAGUCCAGGGGUUGUGGAGCACCAGGGUUGUGUCCCUGGGCACAGUUGGCAGAUUCCCAGUGGGUAAACAUCAAACCUGGGCAAGCCCCCUCCCUGGGCAGACCACCCCUCAUCAGUUGGCAUCCCUGUGGGCCGAGCCCCCCACCAUGGGCAGAGCCCCUCCUGUGGGUACAUUCCCUCUGGGCAGCCCCCGACCCCCGCUGUGGGUGUCUGAACCCUGUGGGCAGCCCCCAACCGUGGGCAGCCCCCCGCCCCGUGGGGAUA